rnacentral:lncRNA from 1 species
CACACUUGGUGUGUUCUGGUCGCGCACAAACACAGAGCCAGGAGAGGCUCCCCAAGCUCAAACCCUAGUUAUCAAGAAUUGACUAAAUUGAAGGCCAAAUUCAGUUCCAAAUCGCAAUCCAAGCAUAGAAUAAUGAUCUCCUCUGAAAGAGGAUCAUAAGGCAAGGAAAUCGGAACGUCAAGCGGACAAGCUAAUGGCGAUACGCGUUUGAAGGGGGCGCUUGGAAGGUACGUAACCACGGUUUCGUUACGUUAUGUUUGUUAUGUAUUUUUACUAGUAGACUUAAAUUUAGAAUAGUGUAUGAAUUUGGAUGUCUAGUCGAAGUGACGAAAAACACUAGAUGAGUAAAUGGGUUAAAUGUUGGUUAGAACAAGUUUGGUAUGUUGUAAAAUGGUGGUUCCCAUUAAACAACCAAACGGGUCAAACAAUGGUUGAAUUUGUAAGUGUUGAAGUGACUAAAACGUCACUCAUUAUGAUUGAGUUAUAAAAACGUAAUCCAAGGAAUGGAUGUGAUACGCUAAGAUUGACAAGCCCGGGGAUGGGUAAUUAUGGUUAGAUACCAAUGUUGAUGAAUUAUGCAAGUCAAGAAUUGGUUAGGUUUCGUUGGUAG